AAAGCAUGCAGUGAAAGUCUGCUGUCACGUCAAUACUAAUACUGGAUUUUAUUUUUUGUUACAGUACUGGUAAAUUUGCAGCAGUUUGUUGGAUAUCAGUAGGACAUCACAUCGUCUUUGGCUUGGAGACUCUGACUGGGCCGUUUGUCCUUGGUUUGCAGACAUCUGUUUCCGAGCUUCUGACUGGGCCUUGAAGUACUCGCUCAUCUCACUGAAGUCACAUUUAUUCAGGUGAAGUUAAGAGUAGACAGCUGUUAAAGGAUGCAGCCGCACAGGAUGCGAGGCUCG